rnacentral:rRNA from 1 species
CCUACGGGAGGCAGCAGUGGGGGAUAUUGCACAAUGGGGGGAACCCUGAUGCAGCGACGCCGCGUGAGUGAUGGAGUACUUCGGUAUGUAAAGCUCUGUCAGCAGGGAAGAAAAUGACGGUACCUGACCAAGAAGCCCCGGCUAAAUACGGGCCAGCAGCCGCGGGAAUACGUAGGGGGCCAGCGUUAGCCGGAUUUACUGGGUGUAAAGGGAGCGUAGGCGGCAGGGCAAGCCUGAUGUGAAAGCCCGGGGCUCAACCCCGGGCCUGCAUUGGGAACUGCGCGGCUGGAGUGCAGGAGGGGUAGGCGGAAUUCCUAGUGUAGCGGUGAAAUGCGUAGAUAUUAGGAGGAACACCAGUGGCGAAGGCGGCCUACUGGACUGUGACUGACGCUGAGGCUC